UUAGCUAAUUGUCAGGAUCAUCUAUUCGUCCCAUGCUUAGAUUCUUCUUCCUUUUUUCCUACAGUUUGGCAGUGAACAUAUUCUGACAUUUGCAUUUGACAAAGGACUAAAAAUUAAGGGCAAGAGGAAGAAUAGAAUCUAGGGAAAAAGUAGUCAAGAAAUGGAGAACUACAAAUUAUGGCAUAUGAUUGUGAAGGAAUUCUUCCUUUGCUUUAAGAAAUGAAGAAGAGGUUAAUUUUGGGAAAAUGUUGAAAGACCUACAUGAAAUUAUUUUCAACUGAAUUAUAAAAAUCAUUUAUGUAAACUUGACUUUAUAAAUCCAGACCAGAAUAACGUGACUUCUGUUAUCUAUUCCUUCUCCAAUGUCAAAAGAAAGUGAAGAAACAGGAGUCAUCAAAGUCCAGUGGCAAAAAAAAAAAAAUCAAGAUGACUAGUGAUAACUCAGAAUGCAGUGGAUGACCUUGGCUUCUGUAAAUGUGUAGAUAAUAACAGAAUUUAUCUCCCAAGUUUGUAAUGAGGAUGAAAGUAUUUAAUAUUUUAAAGCAGCUAGU
rnacentral:lncRNA from 1 species